rnacentral:rRNA from 1 species
GACGAACGCUGGCGGCGUGCCUAAUACAUGCAAGUAGAACGCUGAAGGAGGAGCUUGCUUCUCUGGAUGAGUUGCGAACGGGUGAGUAACGCGUAGGUAACCUGCCUGGUAGCGGGGGAUAACUAUUGGAAACGAUAGCUAAUACCGCAUAAGAGUAGAUGUUGCAUGACAUUUGCUUAAAAGGUGCAAUUGCAUCACUACCAGAUGGACCUGCGUUGUAUUAGCUAGUUGGUGGGGUAACGGCUUACCAAGGCGACGAUACAUAGCCGACCUGGGAGGGUGAUCGGCCACACUGGGACUGAGACACGGCCCAGACUCCUACGGGAGGCAGCAGUAGGGAAUCUUCGGCAAUGGACGGAAGUCUGACCGAGCAACGCCGCGGGAGUGAAGAAGGGUUUCGGAUCGUAAAGCUCUGUUGUAAGAGAAGAACGAGUGUGAGAGUGGAAAGUUCACACUGUGACGGUAUCUUACCAGAAAGAGACGGCUAACUACGUG